GGAACAGCGGGCCGAGUCGCAUUGCGAGAAACGGGAGAACCUCCGCCGGAGUCGCAUACUUCUUUUUUGUCCGUUCUCAGUCUUCACUUUUUUAGAGCAAGCGGCCAGUUAAGAGCAUACGGAAGAAGAGUGAAAAGUGAAGAGUGAGCGAUCGCCAAUUCGAAUUUGGGUCGGCUUCCGCGGUCGCCACUUCCGAUAUCGAUGUUUUGUUUUGGUCCGAACUUUUUCGAAUAAAUUCACCCUCGCCUCCAAGGAACAUUUGUUGUUAUUUGUAUUUUUUUCGGUAUAGGAAAAGAAAUAAUCCGUUUUCAGUUCGACUUUGAACGGGGAAGUGAAGAAAAAGACCGGGCGUCGGUUAUUUUUUCUCUGAUUUUCUCUAGACAAAAAUGCCAGUGUAAAUCGUCCAAAAAAUCACGAUGUCAAACUACCAAUCAGGCAACAUGGGAGGGGAUAUUUGGGUCCAACUCUUUUCCUGCUGUAUCAAUCAACCAGCUCACCAAAGAAAAAGACAACAGAGGCGGGGAAGAAUCGACAGAUCUAUGAUCGGUGAACCGACCAACUUCCGGCACACCGGACACAUUGGCUCUGAGGAUGUUGACCUCGGAAACACUCAGUUACAUGCAAUACAAAACCAGAUGCAGUCCAAAGGAGGAUAUGAGACUUCCGUAUCUGCCGUAAAAGUUUAUUAGCUGAAGGUGGUUGUUUAAAGGAAGAAUGUUUGUCCAUAUUUAUUUAAAUAAGUGGAUUAAUGAUUGGGAGCGUUUCCAAGUUUUUUUAAAUAUAUAAAAAAUAAUUGAAAUCUCAUUUUUUUUCUUAGUCUGUAAAUUUUAUUUUAUUUAUUUUAUGUUAUUAACUUAUAAAAAAAAUGUUCUAUUUCAUGUAUUUGUAAUUAAUUUUAUUGUGAUACUUUAUUGUAUAAAGCCCUGGGAUAGAAUUAAUUGAUUCAUUUCAUUGAUUUGUUUAAUUUUAUCUCUUUUUUUUCUGUUUUAUUAUUUAAAGUAACAUUUAAAAACUCAAAACGAUCUUAAUACAUUUUAGUACUUGUGAUUUAAAUUUUAGCUCAAGUGUAUAUUAUUCAAAAUUUAAUCUUAUUGCCAAAAAUUACAAAUUUUCAAUUUAGCAAGUCAAUUAUCAUAAAAACUGUUCCAUUAACCCCGUCCGCAAAGGAAUUAUAGUAAAAACAAAAGACUAAACUUAAACAAAUAAAUAAUAAGUGUGAUAUUGACUGUAUUUUUUACAUUGUUAAGUUCAAGACGAAUUAUACUUUGUAUCUUUUAGUACAAUUCGCAUAGCCACUAUUAAAUAGAUUGUGAUAUGCGAGAAAGUAGUUGAAAUUUAUGAAACAAUAUCAUAUCAUAGUUUGGACUAUCUAUUUCUAAUAUAAUAUUUUACUAAACAAUUUUAUACAAGGUGUUCUGACUGGAUUUUUGUAUUGUGAACGUCUAGGAAUAAUAAAUGUACUUAUAAAUUUUCAUGGAGAAAAGAAAAGUAUUACAAUUUUGUAAUUAAGUUUUUUAAUACAAUUUUGAAUAUAAUUCAUAUGUGAAUGAUGCUA
rnacentral:misc_RNA from 1 species